AUGGAUACAAAAAAAAUAUAUCCUACCCAUUUAACUUCGGAUUGGAUCCGGAUCUGAGUACUUAAGUUAAUAAUAUACCCAUCGGGUUUAUUUGAGCGGGUCUGGAUAGUGACUAUCCGUCUACUACUCACUUAAGACCGGGUAUGAAUCGGGUAUUGGUCGGGUCUAGAUCGGGUACGGAUACCCGUAUGCAUAUAUUUUUUAUUAAACGGUCUAUGGACAAACCAUAAAC
rnacentral:lncRNA from 1 species